GAUGAACGCUAGCUACAGGCUUAACACAUGCAAGUCGAGGGACCGGCGCACGGGUGAGUAACACGUAUCCUACCUGCCCUUUACUCGUGGAUAGCCUUUCGAAAGCAAGAUUAAUAACCGAUAUAAAGGCGGGGGAUGCGUUCCAUUAGGUGGUUGGUGAGGUAACGGCUCACCAAGCCUUCGAUGGAUAGGGGUGGUGAGAGGAAGGUCCACCACAUUGGAAGUGAGACACGGUCCAACCUCCUACGGGAGGCAGCAGUGAGGAAUAUUGGUCAAUGGGCGCGAGCCUGAACCAGCCACGUAACGUGAAGGAUGCAGUGUUAUGGGUCGUAAACGUCUGUUAUAUAAGAAUAUGUAUUAUAUGAAUAAGGUUCGGCUAACUCCGGGCCAGCCGAAGCGGUAAUACGUGGCUCUGAUAAUAC
rnacentral:rRNA from 1 species